GCCGUCGUUGACCAGUGGUUGGUCCUGCUCGUCCUUUAUGGCGGUGUGUUAUAAACGUUCGGAGAUGCACGGAGGUUCGAUUCCUCCCGACGGCA